rnacentral:ncRNA from 1 species
AAAUUUAAUUUAAGUUAAAUACUAAAUUAAAUUAGUUAUAUUUAAUAUAUAAUUUUUAUAAUUUAAUGAAAUUUAAUUUAAGUUAAAUACUAAAUUUGUUGUUUAAAAUUUGUGCCAGCAGUCGCGGUUAAACAAAAAACAAUUAAAUAAUUUUAAUUAAAAUUAAGAUUAAGAUUAAAAUUUAUUUUAAUUAUUGUUUAAAAGUGAAAUUUUUUAAUAAUAUUUAAUAUAAUUAAUAAAUUAAUUUGAUUUUUAAUAAUUUUAUAGAAAACUAGGAUUAGAUACCCUAUUAUAAAAUUAAAUUUAUAAAAAUUUAGUUAUUAAAAGUUAAAUACUUUAAAUCUAAAGAAUAUGGCAGUAUUUUAAUCAAUUUAGAGGAACUUGUUUAUUAAUUGAUAAUACACGAUUAAUUUUACUUAUAUUUUUUUUGUAUAUCGUUGUUAUAAAAUUAUUGUAUUUAAUUUUUAAUAUAUAACUUUUAAUAUAUAUAUAUAUAUAUAUAAAAUAUAUCAAAUCAAGAUGCAGAAUUUAUAAGAAUAUUAUGAGUUACAUUUAAUUAUAAUAUUGAAUGAUUUUUUGAAAAUAAAAAUUUUAAAUUGGAUUUAAAAGUAAUUAUAAAUAAAUUAAUUUUAAUGAUUAAAGUUUUAAAGUAUGUACAUAUUGCCCGUCAUUCUUAAUUAAUUUAAAUAUUAAAUUUUUAUAUUUAAUAUUUCUAAAAAAUUAUUUUAUUUUAAUUUAAGACAAGUCGUAACAUAGUAGAUAUAUUGGAAAAUGUAUCUAGAA